AACGAACGCUGGCGGCAUGCCUAACACAUGCAAGUCGAACGAGACCUUCGGGUCUAGUGGCGCACGGGUGCGUAACGCGUGGGAACCUGCCCUUAGGUUCGGAAUAACUCCCCGAAAGGGGUGCUAAUACCGGAUAAUGUCCUCGGACCAAAGAUUUAUCGCCUUUGGAAGGGCCCGCGUUGGAUUAGCUAGUUGGUAGGGUAAAAGCCUACCAAGGCGACGAUCCAUAGCUGGUCUGAGAGGAUGAGCAGCCACACUGGGACUGAGACGCGGCCCAGACUCUUACGGGAUGCGGGAGUGGGGAAUCUUGGACUACGGGGGAAAGCCUGAUCCAGCAAUGCCGGGUGAGUGAUGAAGGCCUUAGGGUUGUAAAGCUCUUUUACCCGGGAUGAUAAUGACAGUACCGGGAGAAUAAGCACCGGCUAACUCCGUG
rnacentral:rRNA from 1 species